GGUUUGUUUGUUUUGAUAUUGAGCUAUAUGAGUUGUUUAUAUGUUUCACAAAAGCCUUUCAUAAAACUCAUUUAUGAUUAAAAAAAAAACUUUUCAGAAAGUGGGCAUAGGAGGCACCUACCUCAGCAGCAUCAUGAAAAAAAAAAAAAUCAGCACUUCCAGAAGAGAUGAGGCCUGAGACCUGACUUUGGAGAUGCUGAAAGGAUCCCAUGUACACACAGUGCUCAUGGAGCUGGUGUAAGCCUGAGGCCUCUGGCAGUCAUCUUGUGGAAUCCAAAUGGAAUCAGUGGGUACAUAUCAGAGAAAGAAAAGGAAGAUCAAGCUGUGCGCCUGCCAGUGUCCAC
rnacentral:lncRNA from 1 species